GGGCUCGUAGCUCAGUGGGAGAGCGCCUGCCUCACACGCAGGAAGUCGCUGGUUCGAACCCAGCCGGGCCCACCA
rnacentral:tRNA from 2 species